rnacentral:rRNA from 1 species
UACGUAGGGGGCUAGCGUUGCUCGGAAUUACUGGGCGUAAAGGGCGCGUAGGCGGAUAUUUAAGUUGGGGGUGAAAUCCCGGGGCUCAACCUCGGAAUUGCCUUCAAAACUGGAUAUCUUGAGUUCGGGAGAGGUGAGUGGAACUCCGAGUGUAGAGGUGAAAUUCGUAGAUAUUCGGAAGAACACCAGUGGCGAAGGCGACUCACUGGCCCGAUACUGACGCUGAGGCGCGAAAGCGUGGGGAGCAAACAGG